GAGACAUGUCCAGGCCCCUGUAACAGAAUGACUCUUCUCUGUGUCCACUUUAGGGAUGAGCAACUGCUCCAUGACACCCAUGACAUCAGCACCCAGGACUGGAGAAUAAGGCCUCCAGAUUCCUUGAUGACCCCAAAGUUGAGAAGAUUGCAAUUCAGCUCUGGAGAGCAGCCAUCAGGAGGCCGUGUCCACAACCUGAAGACACAGCUCUUCAGUCAAUCAGCUUUCUACCCUGGACCCUAACUCUAUAAUCAAGGAAGAAGGACAUCUCUGCUUCAGCCAGCACAGCUUCAGUUGGGGAAGAUAUUAGCAGACAUCAUCACUGAACCCAGAAGAGAGGGUGGUGCCCAUGAGUGGAGAUGUGAGGGUCUAUGGCUGAAACUGGGAACUUGGAAAUCAAGUGAGACCCAAGCACAUUCCAACUGCCAAAGCAAGGAAACCAGCAAACAAACAGCUGAUGAAAUAAAUGUGACAUAAAAGA
rnacentral:sRNA from 1 species